rnacentral:rRNA from 1 species
GCUUGUCUCAAAGAUUAAGCCAUGCAUGUCUAAGUAUAAGCAACCUUAUACAGCGAAACUGCGUACAGCUCAUUAUAUCAGCAAUUAUUUAUUUGAAGAUCACCUAUUACAUGGAUAACCGUGGUAAUUCUAGAGCUAAUACAUGCGAAAAGACGGGCCGCAAGGCUUGUUGUAUUUAUUAGAUACAAAACCAAUGCGGGUUCUGCUCGCCAUUGUGUUGAAUCAUAGUAACUUAUCGAACGCCAUAGCCUUGUGCUGGGCGUAGAUCAUUCAAAUUUCUGCCCUAUCAGCUUUCGACGGUAGUGUAGUGGACUACCGUGGCGUUAACGGGUAACGGGGAAUUAGGGUUCGAUUCCGGAGAGGGAGCCUGAGAAACGGCUACCACAUCCAAGGAAGGCAGCAGG